CUGACGGCUCCAUCCACAGACUUGGCUGAGAUCCCACAGCUGGUAAAUGAGAACCUGCAUUCAGUCCCCCAGUGUGCUGACUCCAAAGAAGACAGCCUCAGCUUCUCUCCAGAUACCAGAUACCAGAUAGCCUGCCAGUACUGAUUCCACGGGGUCUCCCCUCAAGAGGACAUGGAAGAUGGGCAAGUGUCGUGGUCUCCAAACUGCCCGGAAGCUCCGCAGUCACCGACGGGACCAGAAGUGGCAUGACAAACAAUACAAGAAAGCCCACUUGGGCACAGCCCUGAAGGCCAAUCCAUUUGGGGUGCCUCUCAUGCAAAGGGAAUUGUGCUGAAAAAGUAGGGGUUGAGGCCAAACAGCCAAACUCUGCCGUCAGGAAGUGUGUCAGGGUGCAGCUCAUUAAGAAUGGCAAGAAGAUCACAGCGUUCGUGCCCAAUGAUGGCUGCCUGAACUUCAUUGAGGAAAAUGAUGAAGUUCUGGUUGCUGGAUUUGGUCGGAAAGGGGUCAUGCUGUAGGUGAUAUUCCUGGAGUCUGCUUUAAGGCGGUUAAAGUAGCCAAUGUUUCUCUGUUGGCUCUAUACAAAGGCAAGAAAGAAAGGCCAAGAUCAUAAAAUUUGACAAUGGAAACACAGUAAUAAAUUUUCAUAUUCUGAAAAAAAAAAAAAAA